AAAUUCCAAGGUGAGAGGAAUCUGAGAAAGGGAAAGCGGAGCUGUGAUUUAUCUGCAAGCGGAAACAGCUUCAUGGUUUAGGUUUCUUCCUUUCUUCUCGGGAGUCUUUCCUUGCCGCUGUGCCGCUGCUCACUAGAAACAUAAUCUGACCUGUUCUGAUCUGAAUAAAUGGACAAUCAAAAUGA